GCCCAAUGAUGAGACCAAGGCGAAUAUGAGCCCACUGAUUAGAGUCUGAGCUCUCCUGUGCACCCAUUGGCUGGUAAUCUUGGCUGGACAGUGAAGGUUUACUGUUUUGCUGUAAGGGCCUGCCUACAUUAUCUAGCUCCUCACUUUUUCUAUCCUUUAAAGAAAUUGGGGGAGAUAAAGAAGGGGAGCUUACAGUUUGUGUAGGGUAACAGGUUGAGUCUCACCUCUCUGGAUUAAAUCUAUGGGCAUUGAGCUCUCUCUUUGGUAAUCUGAGGGUA